CCGCCAAUCCAUUCACUACGGAUCGUCCGGCACGUACCUGCCGGUGAAGGAGCAUUAA
rfam:Leifsonia sp. SCN 70-46 ABT06_C0002, whole genome shotgun sequence.